rnacentral:rRNA from 1 species
CAGUAGCCGCGGUAAUACGAAGGUCCCGAGCGUUGUUCGGAAUCACUGGGCGUAAAGGGAGCGUAGGCGGCGUGGUAAGUCAGAUGUGAAAUCCCGGGGCUCAACCCCGGAACUGCAUCCGAUACUGCCGUGCUAGAGGAUUGGAGAGGUAGCUGGAAUUCUUGGUGUAGCAGUGAAAUGCGUGGAGAUCAAGAGGAGCACUCGUGGCGAAAGCGAGCUACUGGACAAUAUCUGACGCUGAGGCUCGAAGGCCAGGGUAGCGAAAGGGAUUAGAUACCCCAGUAGUCCCUGUCUCUUAUAC